AGCUAGACUCUGUCUCAAAAAAAUGUAUAUAUAUAGUAAUGGCCAAAUAGUAUUCCUGUAGCAAUAAAGCAGUAACUUUAAUGAAUAAUUAAAUAAAAGCAAUAAAAGAUAACUGUAGCAAUAAAUAACUUUAUUUAAUGAUAAAAUUGAUGAAUACUCAGGUUAUUUUCAAUUUUUACAAUACUGUCCAUCUUAGGUUACAUUUGUAAGUAUAUAUUUAGGAUAAAUUCCUAGUAGUGCAUCAAAGGACAUUUAAAAUUUUAAAAUAUGUUGCCAAGUUGUACUCCAAAAAUUUUGCACCAAUUUAAAUUCCCACCAACAGUAUACAAAUGUGUUUAUUUUAAUCUUUUCUUUCCAACCCCACAUAUAGCAGAACUUUCUAGUGUUUCCCUUUUUGAUGAAAUGUCUCUUUGCUGUUUUGAUUGCAUUUAAGUAUUUUCAGUCAGGUUGAGAAUCUUUUCAUAUAUUUCAGGUCAUUUGUUGUAUUAGUCAGGGUUCCCUAGACAGACAGAACUAAUGGGACAGACGUAUAUAAAAAGGGGACUUUAUUAAGGACUAUUGGCUCAUAUGAUCACAUUGUGAAGUCCCACAAUGGGCUGUGUGCAAGCUGAGGGGCAAGGAAGCCAGUCGGAGUCCCAAAACCUCAAAAGCAGGGAAGCCAACAGUGUAACCUUCAGUCUGUGGCCUGAGGCCUGAGAGCUCCAAGCAAGUCACUGAUGUAAGUCCAAGAGUCCAAAAGCUGAAGAACUUGGAGUCUGAUGUUUGAGGACAGGAAGCAUCCAGCAUGGAAGAAAAAUGAAGGCCAGAAGACUCAGCAAGUCUGCUCAUUCCACAUUCCUCUGCCUGCUUUAUCCUAGCCGCGCUGGCAGCUGAUUAGAUGAUGCCCACCCAGAUUGAAGGUGGGUCUGCCUCUCCCAAUCCACUGAUUCAAAUAUUAAUCUCCUUUGGCAACACCCUCACAGACACAUCCAGGAACAAUACUUUGUCUCCUUCAAUCAAGUUAACACUCAAUAUUAAUCAUCACAUUUGUAUUUUAUCUUUUUCUGAGAACUACCUGUUUAUAUUACUUGCAUGUAGUUAUUGUUUUCUUUUCUUUUCUUUUUUUUAAUUUGGUAAAACUUUUUGAAAAUUAAGUAGCCAUUUAUCUGUCACAUUUAUUUUGAACAACCAAUGUAGUAUUUGUCCUUAGACUUUGGCUAUGGAUUUUUUUAUUUUUUAUUUUUUUGCCAUAUAAAUGUUUUAAAUUUUAAGUUCUUAAAAUUUCCUUUUUGGCUUCUGGGUGUGCUGUGUAUUGAAUGUAUUUUCUUGGCUGCUUUUGUUUACCUAUUAACAGGAGGACCUUUCAGUCACCUUUGUAUUCCCAGUGCUUAGCAGAGGGACCUGCCCAUAGACCACUGGAUACCAAUGGAAUGAGGAGAUGAAGAAUUUGGCGAAGGAAGUGAACAGCUUAUAGGAGAAGAAGGAGAGAAUAGGGAAAGCUCUUCUAGAUACCAAAACAAGCAAGAAGAGUUGGGCUGGAUUUUAAUUCAAAAUAAAGUCUGAACUUUUCUUCCCCA